UGAACGCUAGCGGCAGGCUUAACACAUGCAAGUCGAACGGUAACAUGAGAGCUUGCUCUUGAUGACGAGUGGCGCACGGGUGCGUAACGCGUAUACAAUCUACCUUUAACUGGGGGAUAGCCAGAAGAAAUUCUGAUUAAUACCCCAUAAUAUUUCAAAAAGGCAUCUUUUUGUUUUUAAAACUCCGGUGGUUAAAGAUGAGUAUGCGUCCCAUUAGCUUGUUGGUAAGGUAACGGCUUACCAAGGCAACGAUGGGUAGGGGGCCUGAGAGGGUGAACCCCCACACUGGUACUGAGACACGGACCAGACUCCUACGGGAGGCAGCAGUGAGGAAUAUUGGUCAAUGGACGAAAGUCUGAACCAGCCAUGCCGCGUGCAGGAUGACUGCCCUAUGGGUUGUAAACUGCUUUUAUUUAGGAAGAAACCCCCCGACGUGUCGGGGGCUGACGGUACUAAACGAAUAAGGACCGGCUAACUCC
rnacentral:rRNA from 1 species